rnacentral:lncRNA from 1 species
GUCAACACAACAGAAAAUAAAUAAAUUAUUUGGAUCCAAUAGCUAGUGUCAUUUUGUGCCUAAAAACUAGUGUAUCAAAUAGCUACUACACUACACAAUAUACAGCGUAUAAAAAUUUCUUCAAACUCUUGAUCAAACUGAAGUCUUCCACUUGUCAAAUUUUGAAUAUCAUGGUGCAUGACCUAAAAUGAUAUAAUAAAGUAAAUAUUAACAUGACUUAAGUAAUAAAAUAUAGUCCUAUAUUUUUGAGUGAUAACUUAAAAGUAAUAUUCAAAAAUUAUACACCUUUUACAAACAAGCUAUUUGCAGUACCCGUAAAAUUAAGAGCCAUGUGAUUUGCUAAUAGAGCUACUUCGUCACGAAGAUCCCAGAAGUCUUUACCUACUCUCAUCACUCUCUAUAGAAGUGAUCUGAGCUUUC